CAGCACUCUCACAGAGCACUCUCACACCCAUCACACUCACAGCACUUUCACACACACAGCACUCUCUCACAGAGCACUCUCACACACACACAGCACUCUCUCACACAGCACUCUCACACCCAUCACACACAGCACUCUCUCACAGCACUCUCUCACAGCACUCUCUCACAGCACUCUCACACACACACAGCAUUCUCUCAC